GAUGAAGAACGCAGCGAAAUGCGAUAAGUAAUGUGAAUUGCAGAAUUCAGUGAAUCAUCGAAUCUUUGAACGCACAUUGCGCCCUCUGGUAUUCCGGGGGGCAUGCCUGUUCGAGCGUCAUUAUAACCACUCAAGCUCUCGCUUGGUAUUGGGGUUCGCGGUUUCGCGGCCCCUAAAAUCAGUGGCGGUGCCUGUUGGCUCUACGCGUAGUAAUACUUCUCGCGAUUGAGUUCGAUAGGUCUACUUGCCAGUAACCCCCAAUUUUUACAGGUUGACCUCGGAUCAGGUAGGGAUACCCGCUGAACUUAAGCAUAUCAAUAAGCGGAGGA
rnacentral:misc_RNA from 1 species